rnacentral:rRNA from 1 species
AGGACUAACGCUGGCGGCGUGCCUAACACAUGCAAGUCGAACGAGGUAGCAAUACCUAGUGGCAGACGGGUGAGUAACGCGUGGUCAACCUACCUCUUAGUGGGGGAUAACUAGCCGAAAGGUUAGCUAAUACCGCAUACGAUCGUCGCGAGGCAUCUCGUGACGAUGAAAGGAGCAAUUCGCUAAGAGAGGGGACUGCGUCCCAUUAGUUAGUUGGUGGGGUAAUGGCCUACCAAGACUCCGAUGGGUAGCUGGCUUGAGAGAGCGACCAGCCACACUGGAACUGAGACACGGUCCAGACUCCUACGGGAGGCAGCAGUGAGGAAUUUUCCGCAAUGGGCGCAAGCCUGACGGAGCGACGCCGCGUGUGGGAAGAAGGCCUUCGGGUCGUAAACCACUGUCGAAGGGGACGAUAUUGACGGUACCCUUGGAGGAGCCCCGGCUAACUACGCGCCAGCAGCCGC